rnacentral:rRNA from 1 species
UACGUAGGGUGCAAGCGUUAUCCGGAAUCACUGGGCGUAAAGCGCGCGUAGGCGGCUCUUCAAGUCAGGCGUGAAAGCCCCGGGCUUAACCCGGGAAUAGCGCUUGAUACUGUUGGGCUUGAGUCCGGGAGAGGAUAGUGGAAUUCCCAGUGUAGAGGUGAAAUUCGUAGAUAUUGGGAAGAACACCGGUGGCGAAGGCGGCCCGCUGGGCAACUGCUGACACUGAGGCGCGACAGCGUGGGGAGCAAACAGG